AUGGCCUUCCAUUCCUCGGUCGCUCCCAUCCCCUUGGCCCCACCUCCCGGCCCCGGAGCCUUCCACCGAGCCCACCGCCCCGCCGGAGCUCCCCGAGCCGGCGCGCCCGGGAGGAGUCUCGCCGCCCACUCGUCUCCCUCGCCCGACGUCGUGGUCACGCGCGAGCAAGGCAAGAACGCCAAGCUCGUCGCCGCUCUGGAGAAGCAUAAUGUGCACUCUCUGGAGCUUCCUCUUAUUCAGCACGUCGAAGGGCCUGUUGCAGACAGGCUUUCAGCUGUCUUGCGGGAUGAAAAGUUUGACUGGGUUACUGUAACAUCUCCUGAGGCAGCUGCAGUGUUCCUUGAGGGAUGGAAGGCUGCUGGAAGUCCUAAGGUGCGAAUAGCAGUUGUUGGAGCAGGUACUGCAAGAACUUUUGAUGAAGUAUUGCAAUCCAAUGAUGGACCCCUUGAGGUUGCAUUUUCUCCUUCCAAAGCUUUGGGCAAAGUUUUGGCCUCGGAGCUUCCAAGGACUAGUGAGACUGCUUCUAAAGUGUUGUAUCCUGCAUCUGCAAAGGCUGGCCAUGAAAUUCAGAAUGGGCUGUCAGCUCGAGGAUUUGAGGUGACAAGACUGAACACCUAUUCAACCGUACCUGUACAUGAUGUAGAUCCACAGAUUUUAAAGCUUGCUCUUUCAGCGCCAGUUGUUGCAGUAGCUUCUCCAUCUGCACUCCGGGCGUGGCUAAACCUCAUGUCACGGGUCGACAAGUGGAGCAACUCGGUCGCCUGCAUAGGCGAGACGACGGCGUCAGCGGCCAAGAAACUCGGCCUGGAGAGCGUAUACUAUCCUGCAACCCCUGGACUCGAAGGGUGGGUCGAAAGCAUCCUGGAAGCGCUCAGAGCCCACAAGCAACCGUCCAAGCCCCAAAGUUUCGGAGAGGAGCAGGGUUGA
rnacentral:rRNA from 1 species